rnacentral:rRNA from 1 species
AUUGAACGCUGGCGGCAGGCCUAACACAUGCAAGUCGAACGGUAACAGGGAUCAGCUUGCUGAUUCGCUGACGAGUGGCGGACGGGUGAGUAAUGUCUGGGAAACUGCCUGAUGGAGGGGGAUAACUACUGGAAACGGUAGCUAAUACCGCAUAACGUCGCAAGACCAAAGAGGGGGACCUUCGGGCCUCUUGCCAUCGGAUGUGCCCAGAUGGGAUUAGCUAGUAGGUGGUGUAACGGCUCACCUAGGCGACGAUCCCUAGCUGGUCUGAGAGGAUGACCAGCCACACUGGAACUGAGACACGGUCCAGACUCCUACGGGAGGCAGCAGUGGGGAAUAUUGCACAAUGGGCGCAAGCCUGAUGCAGCCAUGCCGCGUGUAUGAAGAAGGCCUUCGGGUUGUAAAGUACUUUCAGCGGGGAGGAAGGGAGUAAAGUUAAUACCUUUGCUCAUUGACGUUACCCGCAGAAGAAGCACCGGCUAACUCCGUG